rnacentral:rRNA from 1 species
UACGUAGGGUGCAAGCGUUAAUCGGAAUUACUGGGCGUAAAGCGUGCGCAGGCGGUUAUGUAAGACAGGAGUGAAAUCCCCGGGCUUAACCUGGGAACUGCAUUUGUGACUGCAUAGCUAGAGUACGGUAGAGGGGGAUGGAAUUCCGCGUGUAGCAGUGAAAUGCGUAGAUAUGCGGAGGAACACCGAUGGCGAAGGCAAUCCCCUGGACCUGUACUGACGCUCAUGCACGAAAGCGUGGGGAGCAAACAGG